CGUUCAACUUUUAGUCUGAAUGGCUAUUGAAUUGUGUUUUAAUGUUAUGUAGUUAGAUUGUCUAAUGAUAUUCUUUACCUAGAUUUAACAUGUUAUCUUGCUUUUUAAAGAUUUUUUUUGUUCAUUUGAUCCUUUUAAGAAGGGGAGAAUCUAUAUUAUUGACUUUAUUGAGAGAUAACUAUUCCUCUUUUGAGGAGAUUUAAAUAUUAUAUAAUAGAUCAAUCUGAAUAGUUACAUAUGAAGCAAGUCCAGCAAUUACUUGAUGAUAGAACCUUGUAAAAAGGAGGGAAGGAAAGAGUAUGGAAGGAUUUUGUGCUGCCCUUUAAAUUGAAACUUUGCUCCUUGUUCACUUUGUAAAGACCUUGUCUAAUCCUAAUGUAUUGCUACUGUGGACAGAUCUCAGCUUUCUUUUGCAUGCAUUAAUCAAAGUACUCAAUAUAUUUUUAGAAGUUUUAGCCCUUUAGGUCAUCAAUAAAAAUACUGGUUCUUCAUUCUUUUGAAAUGCCUCUAUGAUCGAAGGAGACUUCUUUAGGGGUUAUAGUUUAAUGCUUCACUUUUUAAAACCUAAUCUUAAUUCCUUGGGUGAUGGAGUCAUCAUUCAUUGGAAUCUGACUUGAUAUCCAUAACAUCCCCCCUCAUUUUUGGUAAGAAAGGCCAUCUGAAAAGCACCAUUAAAUCAGCUAUUACCAUCUACCUUCUUAUGCCAACAUAGAUCUCACACCUCCCGUGGAAUGGCUUUUUGGAAUUUGAAGGUAUCCUUUUCCUUGUAGACACCCUCAAGACUAAAAUUGCAGCGUAGACAAUUCUCUCAAGUCACACCAGCACAAUUCAUAUAGAGGUACUUGUUAGAAGAAAUGAUAAAAGAUAAAAUUUUAGUGCAUCAAAGAUCUGUGAUGGAAAAUUAGUAUCUAUUAGCUAGUUGAUAAAAGCAAAGACGCUUAAAAUUAGUUUUCAUGCUCUUGAUGCACCUACAUCAUGCUUUUUGUGUAUUUUAAUGUGCUAAUGUUUCUCUUUUGUUUCAUUUUUUUUAUGGAAAGUAGGAACAGUUAUACAUGGAUGAAACCGACAUUGUAAAACUAUUAUAUUUUAAAGACGGACGAGAGAACUUUCAAGACAAAUGUUUGGUGAACUAUAAGAACCAAAAUCUAAAUGGUACAAAACUAUGAGAACCAAAGCCUAAACAGAAUCAAACUAUAGAGACCAAAAGCCAUAUUUUUAAUGUAUAGGAAUCAAAACCAAAGUCAAGGUAACUAUA